rnacentral:rRNA from 1 species
AUGCAGUCGAACGGCAGCACGGGAGCAAUCCUGGUGGCGAGUGGCGAACGGGUGAGUAAUAUAUCGGAACGUGCCCAGUCGUGGGGGAUAACGCAGCGAAAGCUGUGCUAAUACCGCAUACGAUCUCUGGAUGAAAGCGGGGGACUCGUAAGAGCCUCGCGCGAUUGGAGCGGCCGAUAUCAGAUUAGCUAGUUGGUGGGGUAAAGGCCCACCAAGGCGACGAUCUGUAGCUGGUCUGAGAGGACGACCAGCCACACUGGAACUGAGACACGGUCCAGACUCCUACGGGAGGCAGCAGUGGGGAAUUUUGGACAAUGGGCGCAAGCCUGAUCCAGCAAUGCCGCGUGCAGGAUGAAGGCCUUCGGGUUGUAAACUGCUUUUGUACGGAACGAAAAGGUUUGCCUUAAUACGGUGGGCCCAUGACGGUACCGUAAGAAUAAGCACCGGCUAACUACGUGCCAGCAGCCGCGGUAAUACGUAGGGUGCGAGCGUUAAUCGGAAUUACUGGGCGUAAAGCGUGCGCAGGCGGUUAUAUAAGACAGAUGUGAAAUCCCCGGGCUCAACCUGGGACCUGCAUUUGUGACUGUAUAGCUAGAGUACGGU